UACGUAGGGUGCAAGCGUUAAUCGGAAUUACUGGGCGUAAAGCGUGCGCAGGCGGUGAUGUAAGACAGAUGUGAAAUCCCCGGGCUCAACCUGGGAAUUGCGUUGGAGACUGCAAGGCUAGAAUCUGGCAGAGGGGGGUAGAAUUCCACGUGUAGCAGUGAAAUGCGUAGAGAUGUGGAGGAACACCGAUGGCGAAGGCAGCCCCCUGGGUCAAGAUUGACGCUCAUGCACGAAAGCGUGGGGAGCAAACAGG
rnacentral:rRNA from 1 species